UAAUUGAAGAGUUUGAUCCUGGCUCAGAUUGAACGCUGGCGGCAUGCCUUACACAUGCAAGUCGAACGGCAGCACGGGGGCAACCCUGGUGGCGAGUGGCGAACGGGUGAGUAAUGCAUCGGAACGUGUCCUCUUGUGGGGGAUAACCAGUCGAAAGAUUGGCUAAUACCGCAUGAGAUCGAAAGAUGAAAGCGGGGGACCGCAAGGCCUCGCGCGAGAGGAGCGGCCGAUGCCGGAUUAGCUAGUUGGUGGGGUAAAGGCCCACCAAGGCGACGAUCCGUAGCUGGUCUGAGAGGACGACCAGCCACACUGGGACUGAGACACGGCCCAGACUCCUACGGGAGGCAGCAGUGGGGAAUUUUGGACAAUGGGCGCAAGCCUGAUCCAGCCAUGCCGCGUGUGUGAAGAAGGCCUUCGGGUUGUAAAGCACUUUCGGACGGAACGAAAUCGCGCGCAUGAACAAUGCGCGUGGAUGACGG
rnacentral:rRNA from 1 species